GACGAACGCUGGCGGCGUGCCUAAUACAUGCAAGUCGAACGAGUGGCGGACGGGUGAGUAAUGUCUGGGAAACUGCCUGAUGGAGGGGGAUAACUACUGGAAACGGUAGCUAAUACCGCAUACCAUCAGAUGUGCCCAGAUGGGAUUAGCUUGUUGGUGGGGUAACGUGUCACCAAGGCGACGAUCCCUAGAUGGUCUGAGAGGAUGACCCGCCACCCUUGAAAUGAGACACGGUCCAGACUCCUACGUGAGGCAGCAGUGGGGAAUAUUGCACAAUGGGCGCAAGCCUGAUGCAGCCAUGCCGCGUGUAGGAAGAAGGCCUUCGGGUUGUAAAGUACUUUCAGCGGGGAGGCGUUACCCGCAGAAGAAGCACCGGCUAACUCCGUGCCAGCAGCCGCGGUAAUUC
rnacentral:rRNA from 1 species